rnacentral:snoRNA from 1 species
UUACAAUUUUAAAAACAAGUUAACUUGCGGUUCUUUUGGUUUGCACUAGGAUGCAAAAGUAAAAAAUCCCUGUGCUUUCUGCCUUUGUGGUGGCCCAGAUUGAAAGGGGGAGCACAUCA